rnacentral:rRNA from 1 species
AUACGGAGGGGGUUAGCGUUGUUCGGAAUUACUGGGCGUAAAGCGCACGUAGGCGGACCGGAAAGUAAGAGGUGAAAUCCCAGGGCUCAACCCAGGAACUGCCUUUUAAACUAUCGGUCUAGAGUUCGAGAGAGGUGAGUGGAAUUCCUAGUGUAGAGGUGAAAUUCGUAGAUAUUAGGAGGAACACCAGUGGCGAAGGCGGCUCACUGGCUCGAUACUGACGCUGAGGUGCGAAAGCGUGGGGAGCAAACAGGAUUAGAAACCCUAGUAGUCC